rnacentral:rRNA from 1 species
UAUACCUACGGGAGGCAGCAGUGAGGAAUAUUGGUCAAUGGGAGAGAUCCUGAACCAGCCAAGUCGCGUGAGGGAAGACUGCCCUAUGGGUUGUAAACCUCUUUUGUCAGGGAGCAAUUGGCGCUACGUGUAGCGUUAUCGAGAGUACCUGAAGAAAAAGCAUCGGCUAACUCCGUGCCAGCAGCCGCGGUAAUACGGAGGAUGCGUGCGUUAUCCGGAUUUAUUGGGUUUAAAGGGUGCGUAGGCGGAAUGCCAAGUCAGCGGUAAAAUCGCGCGGCUCAAC